GAGCUGCUAGCCCAGUGGUGAUAGCACUGGUGGAGUACCAGGGGUACUUGGGUUCGAAUCCAAGCCAGCCCC
rnacentral:tRNA from 1 species